rnacentral:rRNA from 1 species
AGCUCCAAUAGCGUAUAUUAAAGUUGUUGCAGUUAAAAAGCUCGUAGUUGGAUUUCGGAGUGGGCCAGUUGGUCCGCCUCACGGUGUGUUACUGACUGGUUUUCUCUCGUUCGCAAAGACUGCGUGUGCUCUUCAGUGAGUGUGCGUAGGAUUUACGACGUUUACUUUGAAAAAAUUAGAGUGUUCAAAGCAGGCUAUUGCUUGAAUACAUGAGCAUGGAAUAAUGGAAUAGGACUUUGGUCCCAUUUUGUUGGUUUCUAGGGCCGAAGUAAUGAUUAAGAGGGACAAUUGGGGGCAUCCGUAUUUCGUUGUCAGAGGUGAAAUUCUUGGAUUUACGAAAGACGAACAACUGCGAAAGCAUUUGCCAAGAGUGUUUUCA